rnacentral:rRNA from 1 species
CCUACGGGUGGCAGCAGUGAGGAAUAUUGGUCAAUGGGCGCGAGCCUGAACCAGCCACGUAGCGUGAAGGAUGACUGCCCUCCGGGUUUUAAACUUCUUUUUUAAAGGAAUAAAGUGAGGCACGUGUGCCUUUUUGUAUCGACUUUAUCAAUAAGGAACGGCUAACUCCGUGCCAGCAGCCGCGGUAAUACGGAGGAUCCGAGCGUUAUCCGGAUUUAUUGGGUGUAAAGGGAGAGUAGAUGGGAUGUUACGUCAGUUGUGAAAGUUUGCGGCUUAACCGUAAAAUUGCAUUUGAUACUGGGAGUCUUGAGUGCAGUUGAGGUAGGUGGAAUUCGUGGUGUAGCGGUGAAAUGCGUAGAUAUAACGAAGAACUCCGAUUGCGAAGGCAGCUUACUAAACUGUCACUGACAUUGAGGCUCGAAAGUGUGGGUAUCAAACAGGAUUAGAUACCCUUGUAGUC